CAGCAGCCGCGGUAAAACAGAGGGUGCGAGCGUUAAUCGGAUUUACUGGGCGUAAAGCGUGCGUAGGCGGCUUCUUAAGUCGGAUGUGAAAUCCCUGAGCUUAACUUAGGAAUUGCAUUCGAUACUGGGAAGCUAGAGUAUGGGAGAGGAUGGUAGAAUUCCAGGUGUAGCGGUGAAAUGCGUAGAGAUCUGGAGGAAUACCGAUGGCGAAGGCAGCCAUCUGGCCUAAUACUGACGCUGAGGUACGAAAGCAUGGGGAGCAAACAGGAUUAGAUACCCCAGUAGUCCCUGUCUCUUAUAC
rnacentral:rRNA from 1 species